rnacentral:lncRNA from 1 species
UAUCUUUAAACAGAAUUUAAUGUGCUUUCUUUUCAUUUAUCUCAACUUUUCCGUAAACUCAUCUCAGCCUAUGUAUAAUUGAAUUUCGUCAUGGCUGCUUCCUGAACAGACCCAUAAAACUGUUUCCCAAGCAAUGAUUAACCCUUUUCCCGUGUUUCGUUUUGAUAUUUUUAUAAUUUCUUGGCAUAUUUUCUUAAUUGUCUUGUUGUUGUGGUAAUUAGUACAGAUUUAAUUGCGGCCAAAUCCGCAUAAAGUAAGUAACCGAUGCGGUUUAUGGUUUAACCAACCCUCCAGUUUUGGGGCAGUGGAAAUCAGGGUAAAGACUCCAUUCUCCAGCUUCAGGAAGACUGACCACAUCAUUAAUCGUUGGCUGGUUAGCGUACAACAAUUUGUCCAAAAAACAAUUAAGGGCCCAAUACCAAGGGCCCAACCCCCAACAAGGCAAACAAGCUAAGCACCCUCAAGGACAUGGACACUCCCCCUGAAGGAUGGAGGUCCACAGAUCAGGGAAUCGUUAACAGCAUUUGACAGUUGGCUAAUGAAAAUCCAUGGGAGUGAAAGUGUUGCAAUGUGAUUAAUGAUUUGCCAGGUUUAAAUUUCUCCUUCGUUUAAAUUUCUCUGUAAUUCUGGGUCCUAGAAUCCAUCCAUUAUUUAUGCACUCCCCGUUCCAUUAUCCCACAUGCACUCUGGUCCAUUGUUCAGCGCGGGAUUUCAGUGGAUUCCGCUGUGUUCUUUCUUUUUUGGUUAGGACAACAAUGACUUUCAUUUUGGUAUAUGAAAAAUUCCGUUGCAGGUGGCAACUAAAUGGCUAAUGGAGAUGGGCUUCGGUUCCAUUGUUGGUCAGCCUUUGUCC